CACUGCCAGGUAACAUGCAGUCUGACACAGGUUUGUGUCUGUGGGAGAUACCUGAAGUAGUGCCAAAUGUCACUGCCAGGUAACAUGCAGUCUGACACAGGUCUGCGUCUGUGGGAGAUACCUGAAGUAGUGCCAGGUGUCGCUGCCACGUAACAUACAGCCUGACACAGGUUUGUGUCUGUGAGAGAUACCUGAAGUAGUGCCAGGUGCCACUGCCAGGUAACAUGCAGCCUGACACAGGUUUGUGUCUGUGGGA